UUUUUUUUUUUUUUUUUUUCUAAAGGCGUGGAAGUAGCUAUACAUGCAAACUUACAUAUUCAGUCGUGACAUGCUUGAUGUACGGAUGGUUGUGGAUCACGAAUUUACAGUAUUAUGUUACAAAGUACUUGAUAAGUUUGUGAGUUUUGAUGAUGGCUUUAUAUAUAAAGGCCCUUUUAAACCUUGUGGAAUAAUUUAAUAGUCACUUAUGUUUAUCAAUUUUUUUUAUAAUUUAAAC
rnacentral:misc_RNA from 1 species